UACGGAGGAUCCAAGCGUUAUCCGGAUUUAUUGGGUUUAAAGGGUGCGUAGGCGGGUUUUUAAGUCAGUGGUGAAAGUUUGCAGCUCAACUGUAAAAUUGCCAUUGAAACUGAAGACCUUGAGUGUAAAUGAGGUAGGCGGAAUGUGUUGUGUAGCGGUGAAAUGCUUAGAUAUAACACAGAACACCAAUUGCGAAGGCAGCUUACUGGGAUACAACUGACGCUGAGGCACGAAAGCGUGGGGAUCAAACAGG
rnacentral:rRNA from 1 species